AUAUUGAGACGAGGUUAAUGGGUGCUCGAGCACCCUCAUACAAUCGACUUUUUGGGUUGUGUGCAUUUUCCCUAAGGACCCCAUUGCACUUUGGAGGGGUGCCUGUUUAAGGUCGAUCCAAGUGAUCGAGCCUACGUCAUAAUUUGUGAAUGCGGGCCCC